CAAAUUCACACAUCUACAGUGAUCUCAUGUUUAAAAAGGGUGUCAAGAAGAUAUACUGGGGUAAAGACAGUCUCUUCAAUAAAUGAUGCUGAGAAAACUGUAUAUCCAUAUGCAGAAGAGUGAAACUAGCCCCUUAUCUCUUGUCAUAUGCAAAAAUCAAAUAAAACUAGAUUGAAGACUUAAAUCUAAGACCUCAACCUAUAAAACUACUAAAGAACAACAUUGGAGAAACUCUCCAGGACAUUUGACUGGGCAUAGCUUUCUUGAGUAAUAAGCCAAAAGCAUAAGCAACCAAAGUAAAAAUGGACAAAUGGGAUCACACUAAGUUAAAAAACCUUCUGCACAACAAAGUAAACAAUCAAGAAAGUGAAGAGACAAUCCACAUAAUGUGAGAAAAUGUUUCCAAACUAACCAUUUAACAAGAGGUUAAUAACGAAAACAUCUAAUGCAUAUAUUUUGCUUGGUUUUUGUUUGAAUCUGUGAAUUAUUAA
rnacentral:lncRNA from 1 species